GAUGAACGCUGGCGGCGUGCCUAAUACAUGCAAGUCGAGCGAACGGACGAGAAGCUUGCUUCUCUGAUGUUAGCGGCGGACGGGUGAGUAACACGUGGAUAACCUACCUAUAAGACUGGGAUAACUUCGGGAAACCGGAGCUAAUACCGGAUAAUAUUUUGAACCGCAUGGUUCAAAAGUGAAAGACGGUCUUGCUGUCACUUAUAGAUGGAUCCGCGCUGCAUUAGCUAGUUGGUAAGGUAACGGCUUACCAAGGCAACGAUGCAUAGCCGACCUGAGAGGGUGAUCGGCCACACUGGAACUGAGACACGGUCCAGACUCCUACGGGAGGCAGCAGUAGGGAAUCUUCCGCAAUGGGCGAAAGCCUGACGGAGCAACGCCGCGUGAGUGAUGAAGGUCUUCGGAUCGUAAAACUCUGUUGUUAGGGAAGAACAUAUGUGUAAGUAACUGUGCACAUCUUGACGGUACCUAAUCAGAAAGCCACGGCUAACUACGUGCCAGCAGCCGCGGUAAUACGUAGGUGGCAAGCGUUAUCCGGAAUUAUUGGGCGUAAAGCGCGCGUAGGCGGUUUUUUAAGUCUGAUGUGAAAGCCCACGGCUCAACCGUGGAGGGUCAUUGGAAACUGGAAAACUUGAGUGCAGAAGAGGAAAGUGGAAUUCCAUGUGUAGCGGUGAAAUGCGCAGAGAUAUGGAGGAACACCAGUGGCGAAGGCGACUUUCUGGUCUGUAACUGACGCUGAUGUGCGAAAGCGUGGGGAUCAAACAGGAUUAGAUACCCUGGUAGUCCACGCCGUAAACGAUGAGUGCUAAGUGUUAGGGGGUUUCCGCCCCUUAGUGCUGCAGCUAACGCAUUAAGCACUCCGCCUGGGGAGUACGACCGCAAGGUUGAAACUCAAAGGAAUUGACGGGGACCCGCACAAGCGGUGGAGCAUGUGGUUUAAUUCGAAGCAACGCGAAGAACCUUACCAAAUCUUGACAUCCUUUGACAACUCUAGAGAUAGAGCCUUCCCCUUCGGGGGACAAAGUGACAGGUGGUGCAUGGUUGUCGUCAGCUCGUGUCGUGAGAUGUUGGGUUAAGUCCCGCAACGAGCGCAACCCUUAAGCUUAGUUGCCAUCAUUAAGUUGGGCACUCUAAGUUGACUGCCGGUGACAAACCGGAGGAAGGUGGGGAUGACGUCAAAUCAUCAUGCCCCUUAUGAUUUGGGCUACACACGUGCUACAAUGGACAAUACAAAGGGCAGCGAAACCGCGAGGUCAAGCAAAUCCCAUAAAGUUGUUCUCAGUUCGGAUUGUAGUCUGCAACUCGACUACAUGAAGCUGGAAUCGCUAGUAAUCGUAGAUCAGCAUGCUACGGUGAAUACGUUCCCGGGUCU
rnacentral:rRNA from 1 species